rnacentral:rRNA from 1 species
GGCCUAACACAUGCAAGUCGAGCGGAAACGACACUAACAAUCCUUCGGGUGCGUUAAUGGGCGUCGAGCGGCGGACGGGUGAGUAAUGCCUAGGAAAUUGCCUUGAUGUGGGGGAUAACCAUUGGAAACGAUGGCUAAUACCGCAUAAUGCCUACGGGCCAAAGAGGGGGACCUUCGGGCCUCUCGCGUCAAGAUAUGCCUAGGUGGGAUUAGCUAGUUGGUGAGGUAAUGGCUCACCAAGGCGACGAUCCCUAGCUGGUCUGAGAGGAUGAUCAGCCACACUGGAACUGAGACACGGUCCAGACUCCUACGGGAGGCAGCAGUGGGGAAUAUUGCACAAUGGGCGAAAGCCUGAUGCAGCCAUGCCGCGUGUAUGAAGAAGGCCUUCGGGUUGUAAAGUACUUUCAGUUGUGAGGAAGGGGGUAGCGUUAAUAGCGCUAUCUCUUGACGUUAGCAACAGAAGAAGCACCGGCUAACUCCGUGCCAGCAGCCGCGGUAAUACGGAGGGUGCGAGCGUUAAUCGGAAUUACUGGGCGUAAAGCGCAUGCAGGUGGUUCAUUAAGUCAGAUGUGAAAGCCCGGGGCUCAACCUCGGAACUGCAUUUGAAACUGGUGAACUAGAGUACUGUAGAGGGGGGUAGAAUUUCAGGUGUAGCGGUGAAAU